rnacentral:rRNA from 1 species
GUGGGGAAUAUUGCGCAAUGGAGGCAACUCUGACGCAGCCAUGCCGCGUGCAGGAAGAAGGCGCUACGCGUUGUAAACUGCUUUUAACCGGGAAGAAACCCCAGGACGUGUCCUGGGUUGACGGUACCGGAGGAAUAAGCACCGGCUAACUUCGUGCCAGCAGCCGCGGUAAUACGAAGGGUGCAAGCGUUAUCCGGAUUCAUUGGGUUUAAAGGGUGCGUAGGCGGAGCGUUAAGUCAGUGGUGAAAUCCUGCAGCUUAACUGUAGACUUGCCAUUGAUACUGGCGCUCUUGAGUGCGCUUGAAGUGGGCGGAAUGUGCCGUGUAGCGGUGAAAUGCUUAGAUAUGGCACAGAACACCAAUUGCGAAGGCAGCUCACUAAGGCGAUACUGACGCUGAGGCACGAAAGCGUGGGGAUCGAACAGGAUUAGAAACCCCAGUAGUCC